AAAGUAGAAGUUUAUAUAAUAUUUGACCUGCAAUCAAAAGAAGAUGAAAACGAUUCAUCCUACUUUG
rnacentral:tRNA from 1 species